rnacentral:rRNA from 1 species
UACGAGGGGGGCUAGCGUUGUUCGGAAUUACUGGGCGUAAAGCGAACGUAGGCGGUGUUCCAUGUCAAGAGGUGAAAGCCUGGGGCUCAACUCCAGAAUUGCCUUUGAAACGGGGACGCUUGAGUCCGAGAGAGGGUGGCGGAAUUCCUAGUGUAGAGGUGAAAUUCGUAGAUAUUAGGAAGAACACCAGUGGCGAAGGCGGCCAACCUGGCUCGGUACGUGACGCUCAGGUUCGAAAGCGUGGGGAGCAAACAGGG